rnacentral:rRNA from 1 species
AGAGUUUGAUCCUGGCUCAGGAUGAACGCUGGCGGCGUGCCUAACACAUGCAAGUCGAACGAAGCACCUUUUGAGAUUCUUCGGAUGAUCGAUCGGUGACUGAGUGGCGGACGGGUGAGUAACGCGUGGGUAACCUGCCCUGUACAGGGGGAUAACAGCUGGAAACGGCUGCUAAUACCGCAUAAGCGCACGAGGAGACAUCUCUUUGUGUGAAAAACUCCGGUGGUACAGGAUGGGCCCGCGUCUGAUUAGCUGGUUGGCAGGGUAACGGCCUACCAAGGCGACGAUCAGUAGCCGGUCUGAGAGGAUGAACGGCCACAUUGGAACUGAGACACGGUCCAAACUCCUACGGGAGGCAGCAGUGGGGAAUAUUGCACAAUGGGGGAAACCCUGAUGCAGCAACGCCGCGUGAGUGAAGAAGUAUUUCGGUAUGUAAAGCUCUAUCAGCAGGGAAGAAAAUGACGGUACCUGACUAAGAAGCCCCGGCUAACUACGUGCCAGCAGCCGCGGUAAUACGUAGGGGGCAAGCGUUAUCCGGAUUUACUGGGUGUAAAGGGAGCGUAGACGGCGAAGCAAGUCUGAAGUGAAAGCCCGGGGCUUAACCCCGGGACUGCUUUGGAAACUGUUUUGCUAGAGUGCUGGAGAGGUAAGUGGAAUUCCUAGUGUAGCGGUGAAAUGCGUAGAUAUUAGGAGGAACACCAGUAGCGAAGGCGGCUUACUGGACGGUAACUGACGUUGAGGCUCGAAAGCGUGGGUAGCAAACAGGAUUAGAUACCCUGUAGUCCACGCCGUAAACGAUGA